rnacentral:rRNA from 1 species
AGUGAACGCUGGCGGCAGGCCUAAUACAUGCAAGUCGAACGGCAGCACAGCAGAGCUUGCUCUGUGGGUGGCGAGUGGCGGACGGGUGAGGAAUACGUGGGAAUCUGCCCAGUCGUGGGGGAUAACGUAGGGAAACUUACGCUAAUACCGCAUGCGCCCUUCGGGGGAAAGCCGGGGGACCUUCGGGCCUGGCGCGAUUGGAUGAGCCCACGUCGGAUUAGCUAGUUGGCGGGGUAAAGGCCCACCAAGGCGACGAUCCGUAGCUGGUCUGAGAGGAUGAUCAGCCACACUGGAACUGAGACACGGUCCAGACUCCUACGGGAGGCAGCAGUAGGGAAUAUUGGACAAUGGGCGCAAGCCUGAUCCAGCCAUGCCGCGUGAGUGAAGAAGGCCCUCGGGUUGUAAAGCUCUUUGUUGGGAAGAAAGCAGUUGGUAAUACCGACUGUUACUGACGGUACCCAAAGAAUAAGACACCGGCUAACUUCGUGCCAGCAGCCGCGGUAAU